rnacentral:rRNA from 1 species
UACAGAGGCCCCAAGCGUUACUGAGAAUCACUGGGUUUAAAGGGUGCGUAGGUGGUCCGUUAAGUCCGUUGUGAAAUCCCUGGGCUCAACCCAGGAAAUGCUUCGGAUACUGGCGGACUUGAGGCCGGUAUGGGUCACUGGAACUGACGGUGGAGCGGUGAAAUGCGUAGAUAUCGUCAGGAACGCCAAUGGUGAAGACAGGUGACUGGGCCGGUUCUGACACUGAGGCACGAAAGCGUGGGGAGCGAACGGG